UCUGGAGUUGGGGGGGCAGGAAGAUGGCGGCUCCCAGUGUUAGAGCCGCGAGACCCGGGCCGGAAGCGACGGCUGCGGCUGCCGAGCCGAGCGGGAUGAUGGUGCUGCCGGGGUUCAAGGAUGCGGACAGCUUCGUGAAGUUUGCUCUUGGUUCUGUGCUGGCUGCUACAAAAGCUUCCAAUGGGCUGCCACAGGCUGGAGAUGAGUAUGAUUUUUACCGAAGUUUUCCUGGCUUCAGGGCAUUCUGUGAAACGCAAGGAGAGAGGUUACUUCAAUGUAUGAGUAAGGUCAUGCAGUACCAAGGCUGUCGUAGCCACAUUAAGGACCGAAGUAAGGUGACUGAAUUGGAGGACAAGUUUGAUUUGCUGGUUGAUUCCAAUGAUGUUAUUCUUGAAAGAGUGGGUAUUCUCUUGGAUGAAGCAUCAGGAGUAAACAAGAAUCAGCAGCCUAUUCUCCCUGCAGGAAUGCAGGUUCCUAAAACAAUUGUGUCCAGCUGGAAUCGUAAGGCAGGAGAAUAUAACAAGAAAAAACAGUCUGAAACUUUCCGACUACUUCAUGCCAAGAACAUCAUGCGACCUCAGCUAAAGUUUCGAGAAAAGGUGGAUAAUUCCAACACACCAUUUGUCCCCAAAAUCUUCAUCAAGCCCAAUGCUCAGAAACCUCUGGCUCAGGCACUCACCAAGGAGAGACGUGAGCGACAAGAACGCCCUGAGGAUUUGGAUGUGCCACCUGCCUUAGCAGAUUUUCUCUAUCAGCAGAGAACUCAGCAGAUUGAGCAGGAUAUGUUUGCUCAUCCCUAUCAGUAUGAAUUGGAUCACUUUGCUCCACCAGAUGCAGUCCUUCAGAAGCCACAGAUUCAGAUGUACAGAUUUAUAGAAGAAACACCCUGCCAUUUUGUAUCUACCCUUGAUGAACUUGUGGAACUCAAUGAAAAACUCCUGAGUUGUAAAGACUUCGGUGUAGAUUUGGAGCACCACUCUUAUAGGAGCUUCCUAGGUUUGACAUGCCUCAUGCAGAUUUCCACCCGAACAGAGGACUUCAUUAUUGAUACCCUGGAACUUCGAUGUGACCUGUAUAUUCUCAAUGAGAGCUUCACAGAUCCAUCCAUUGUUAAGGUCUUCCAUGGUGCUGAUAUGGACAUCGAGUGGCUGCAGAAAGACUUUGGGCUGUAUGUGGUGAACAUGUUUGAUACCCACCAGGCAGCUCGUAUCCUCAACCUUGGCAGGCACUCCCUGGAUCACUUACUGAAGCUCUAUUGCAAUGUGGAAACCAACAAGCAGUAUCAGUUGGCUGACUGGAGGAUACGACCUUUGCCUGAGGAAAUGUUUAACUACGCACGCCAUGAUACUCAUUACCUCCUCUACAUCUAUGAUAAGAUGCGUUCAGACCUGUGGGAACGAGCAAAUGGGCAGCCAGCUCAGUUGCAGGUGGUGUGGCAGCGGAGCAAGGACAUUUGCCUCAAGAGGUUCAUCAAACCCAUUUUCACCGAAGAGUCGUACCUUGAGCUGUAUAGAAAGCAGAAGAAGCAUCUCAAUGCCCAGCAGCUCACAGCCUUUCAGUUGCUCUAUGCUUGGAGAGACAGAACAGCCCGUAGGGAAGAUGAGAGUUACGGCUAUGUCCUGCCCAACCACAUGAUGCUGAAGAUAGCUGAGGAGCUGCCCAAGGAACCUCAGGGUAUUAUUGCUUGUUGCAACCCUGUACCUCCUCUCGUGCGGCAGCAAAUCAAUGAAAUGCACCUUCUAAUUCAGCAGGCCCGAGAGAUGCCUCUGCUCAAGUCUGAAGUGGCAUCUGGAGUGAAAAAGAGCAGACCCCAGCCUGCUCCUGAGAGAAUAGAAAAUGCUUUAUUUGGACCUCAUGACUAUUCCCGUGCUCCUCCAGAUGAUUAUCUAAAUGUCACAGCCAUAGGACCUGGGCCACUUCAAAAAAGGGCAGCCCUCUUCUCUGACAAAGAUGAAGAUGAGACCUUCUCAGAUGCUGGCUGCCUUAUUGCUACUGCAGUCAUCACAUUAUUCAAUGAGCCUAGUGCUGACGAAGAGAGUGGAGGGAGGCUGACUACAGCACAGAAGAAGGCACGGAGCAUCAUGGAGUCCUUUGAAAAUCCAUUCAGGAUGUAUCUACCUUCAGAAGAGAAUCGUGCCUAUGUCUCACAGUCAGCAAAGUUUGACCCAAUGUCGAAAAUCUACGAAAUCAGUAAUCGUUGGAAGCUGGCAAGCCAGGUACAGAUCAAAAAAGAGGCCCAGGAAGCUUUGAGAAAGAAAGCAGAGCAGACGGCUGCCCGAGAAAAGGCAAAGGAAGGGUACAGAGCCGCCGCCCAGCAGGUCAUCUCAGUCCGGCAGCAAGCUUCGCUAGAAAAUGCCAAGAAGAGGGAAAGGAUGGGGAGCGAGCCAGGGAGCUUGGAACCCAAACAAGAGAAGAAGCGACUCAAAGCUUCCCAGCAGCCCCCAGAGCAGGAGCCACCCAAGGAGUUUACCCCCUAUGACUACAGCAAGUCAGACUUCAAAGCCUUUGCUGCAAACAGCAAACCCAAACAGUCAUCCCAGUUUGAUCCAAAUGUGCAGGACCCACCUGGCAAGAAAUGUGCUACAGUCGGGAAACCGAAGCAGCCAGCAGGAAACAGAAGCAAAUCUUUUGUGUCUGGAAAAUCAGAGAGAGGCUUCAGGUACAGCUGGCCAAAGAGAUAGUGUUUGCACCCCAGAGAAGGGAAGAGGAGUGCCUGGGGACCGGAGAGCGCUGCAGGGCCUCAGGGUUUUCAACCAAAUAGCACCUUGGAGUGGUCUUCUCUGUCGCUGCCAGGCUGGACAGCAGGAUGGCCCCGGGGACAGCUCUGAAGCAUGCUCUCACUUCAGGCAGUGGCCACGCUUCCCCCUCCCCGCCCACGGAGAGCACUCCAGCUUGGCAGACACCUCGCCCUGAUCCAGAGGAGAUUGUGUAGCUGUUUCCCAGCCUCAUGGUCAGUGUACGUUGUUACCUCCAGAGAGGGAGAGGGGCCCCUCUGGCUACCUGUGUCCCCUGAUGUGGGAGGGCUCCUGUGGGCGCUGUUGUCCUUUGGUCGUGGCCCAGGCCUUCUCAGUCUACAUAGAGACGCAGGGGUUUCCUGACCGAUGGUAUUCUCUGGACAGUCUGCCUUCCUUUCUAUGGGAAGGUGCUAGGUGGAGUGGGCUGGGGGCUGAUUGCAGGACAUGGCUUACCGGCCGCUGGUGUUCUCCCCAACUCCCACACACAAGAACCUGCUGUCAGCCCACUGUCACUGACUUCAUUAAGCCCUGGGCUAGAACCAGCCACUUAGCUGGGCACCGUGCUUAGAAGAGCAGCUGGAACCCAUUGGUUCCAUCAUUUAAUAAAACAUUUUUUGAAUUAAA